rnacentral:rRNA from 1 species
GAAUCAACGCUGGCGGCGUGCCUAACACAUGCAAGUCGAACGCGAAAGCCCCUUCGGGGGUAAGUAGAGUGCGUCCGGGUGAGUAACACGUAGGUAAUCUACCUUCGGUGGGGAAUAACCAGUCGAAAGAUUGGCUAAUACCGCAUAAUGCAGCGGCACCUAAUGGUGAUUAGUUGUUAAAAGCGGGGGAUCGUAAGACCUCGCGCCUGAAGAGGA